AACGAACGCUGGCGGCAUGCCUAACACAUGCAAGUCGAACGAGACCUUCGGGUCUAGUGGCGCACGGGUGCGUAACGCGUGGGAACCUGCCCUUAGGUUCGGAAUAACUCCCCGAAAGGGGUGCUAAUACCGGAUAAUGUCUUCGGACCAAAGAUUUAUCGCCUUUGGAUGGGCCCGCGUUGGAUUAGCUAGUUGGUAGGGUAAAAGCCUACCAAGGCGACGAUCCAUAGCUGGUCUGAGAGGAUGAUCAGCCACACUGGACUGAGACACGGCCCAGACUCCUACGGGAAGCAGCAGUGGGGAAUAUUGGACAAUGGGCGAAAGCCUGAUCCAGCAAUGCCGCGUGAGUGAUGAAGGCCUUAGGGUUGUAAAGCUCUUUUACCCGGGAUGAUAAUGACAGUACCGGGAGAAUAAGCUCCGGCUAACUCCGUG
rnacentral:rRNA from 1 species